UACGAAGGGGGCUAGCGUUGUUCGGAUUUACUGGGCGUAAAGCGCACGUAGGCGGAUCGAUCAGUCAGGGGUGAAAUCCCAGAGCUCAACUCUGGAACUGCCUUUGAUACUGUCGAUCUGGAGUAUGGAAGAGGUGAGUGGAAUUCCGAGUGUAGAGGUGAAAUUCGUAGAUAUUCGGAGGAACACCAGUGGCGAAGGCGGCUUACUGGUCCGGUUCUGACGCUGAGGCGCGAAAGCGUGGGGAGCAAACAGG
rnacentral:rRNA from 1 species